GGACGAACGCUGGCGGCGUGCUUACCACCUGCAAGUCGAACGUAAAGGCCCUGCUUUUGUGGGGUGCUCGAGUGGCGAACGGGUGAGUAACACGUGAGUAACCUGCCCUUGACUUUGGGAUAACUUCAGGAAACUGGGGCUAAUACCGGAUAGGAGCUCCUGCUGCAUGGUGGGGGUUGGAAAGUUUCGGCGGUUGGGGAUGGACUCGCGGCUUAUCAGCUUGUUGGUGGGGUAGUGGCUUACCAAGGCUUUGACGGGUAGCCGGCCUGAGAGGGUGACCGGCCACAUUGGGACUGAGAUACGGACCAGACUCCUACGGGAGGCAGCAGUGGGGAAUAUUGCACAAUGGGCGGAAGCCUGAUGCAGCAACGCCGCGUGCGGGAUGACGGCCUUCGGGUUGUAAACCGCUUUCGCCUGUGACGAAGCGUGAGUGACGGUAAUGGGUAAAGAAGCACCGGCUAACUACGUG
rnacentral:rRNA from 1 species